rnacentral:ncRNA from 1 species
UGCACAGUAUGUGCUGGCUGAGGUAAGUCCGACGUGCUCAAUUGCACUGCCCGAUUUUGGGGGCUUGGGAUUAC